CCUGGGGCGAGGGGGAGCGGUGGGAGGACUGCGGGCUCAGCCCUCCUACCUCUGUCUCCCCUUAGGAGCCUGGUG
rnacentral:miRNA from 1 species